AGCCGAAACAGGGACAAGUUCCCUGUCUGCCAGAGAUGAUCUACUGGCACUGAUGAGGCAGAUUAUA
rnacentral:hammerhead_ribozyme from 2 species